AUGCUCAUGUACGUCGACUGUCUGGAUCUGUCCACUGUGAAUUUCACUGGGACAGGAGGCCCGCCGCCUACGCACAAGUUUGCUGUUUCUGCAUGGACUUACGACGCUGUCAAGGUUGUGCUUACAGUAGACAAGGUCAUUGAUACCAAGUAUGGAAAACUGCAGGUGAUGGCCAAGCAUGCUAUAGACUACAGCGUGUUUGGGGGGCCUCAAAACUUUGGAAAGUGGAUGGACGUGCACUCAGCUCCAUCUUGCCCUACUGAGGCGAGGGCACCUGUUGAGCAUCUAAUUGGGCAGUUUGCAUCCAGAAUGACUGGCUUGCUCGGGAAGUUGGUUGAGGGUUGGACGUCCCUUAACGGCUCUGACAGCGACGCGGUCGCGAGGCAGUUCACUACAUUUGUCCCAGAACGGUCACAUCGGCCAACUGGUUGA
rnacentral:rRNA from 1 species